ACGGAGGGUGCAAGCGUUGUUCGGAUUUAUUGGGCGUAAAGGGCGCGUAGGCGGUAAUGUAAGUCAGAUGUGAAAUACUCCGGCUCAACCAGAGAACUGCAUCUGAAACUACAUAACUAGAGUACAGAAGAGGGAAACGGAAUUCCCGGUGUAGAGGUGAAAUGCGUAGAUAUCGGGCGGAACACCAGUGGCGAAGGCGGUUUCCUGGUCUGAUACUGACGCUGAGGCGCGAAAGCGUGGGGAGCAAACAG
rnacentral:rRNA from 1 species